GACGAACGCUGGCGGCGUGCCUAACACAUGCAAGUCGAACGAGGUCCAUCCGGUGGCAACACUGGUGAAGACCUAGUGGCGAACGGGUGAGUAACACGUGAGCAACCUGCCUCGAAGACUGGGAUAACCCCGGGAAACCGGAGCUAAUACCGGAUAUCCCCACCGGGUCGCAUGGCCUGGUGAGGAAAUGGAUUCCGCUUUGAGAGGGGCUCGCGGCCUAUCAGCUUGAUGGUGGGGUAACGGCCUACCAUGGCACCGACGGGUAGCUGGUCUGAGA
rnacentral:rRNA from 1 species